rnacentral:rRNA from 1 species
GACGAAGGAUGCAAGCGUUAUCCGGAUUCAUUGGGUUUAAAGGGUGCGUAGGCGGCCCGGUAAGUCAGUGGUGAAAUCUCCUUGCUUAACAAGGAAACUGCCAUUGAUACUGUCGGGCUUGAGUACAGUUGCUGUGGGCGGAAUAUGACAUGUAGUGGUGAAAUACAUAGAGAUGUCAUAGAACACCGAUUGCGAGGGCAGCUCACAAAACUGUAACUGACGCUGAGGCACGAAAGUGCGGGGAUCAAACAGG